AAUCAACGCUGGCGGCGUGCCUAACACAUGCAAGUCGAACGAGAAAGUGGAGCAAUCCACAAGUAAAGUGGCGCACGGGUGAGUAACACGUGACUAACCUACCCUUGAGUGGGGGAUAACCUAGGGAAACCUGGGCUAAUACCGCAUAAUACCUAUGGGUCAAAGGAGCAAUUCGCUUUUGGAGGGGGUCGCGGCAGAUUAGUUAGUUGGCAGGGUAAGUGGCCUACCAAGACGAUGANCUGUAUCCGGCCUGAGAGGGCGCACGGACACACUGGAACUGAAACACGGUCCAGACUCCUACGGGAGGCAGCAGUGGGGUAAUUUUGCGCAAUGGGGGAAACCCUGACGCAGCAACGCCGCGUGGAGGAUGAAGACCCUUGGGU
rnacentral:rRNA from 1 species